rnacentral:tRNA from 1 species
AUUUAAGUAGCUUAUGAAGAGUGUGACACUGAAGAUGUUGAGGAAAUAAUUUAUUCUUAAAUA